AAUUAGGCUAAUAUAAGUCUGGUAGAGUGAGCCCUAAUCCAACAUUACUAGUUUCUUUAUAAGAAGAGGAAACUAGUAAUGUUGGAUUAGGGCUCACCCUACCAUUCUCAGC